rnacentral:lncRNA from 1 species
AAAAAGUGAUUCAAGUUCAUUAGAUUUUGCAUAUCUUCCCUUAAACAUAACUCAGGUUAGUAAUUUCAUUUCUUGUUUAAGUGUACUGCCAAUAUUUUAAAAUUAUAUUAUUUAUUAUUAAUUUAUUAAUUAUUAGCAGUAGUUUUAUUUUUAGUACAAAUUGAUUUUUGUUUCCCCCGACGAAUGAAAAACACAAAACUGAAAAUUUCAAUUCGGUGCUAGAUGGUGGAUUUGAGAAAUUACUGUCUCCAUCCGUCGUUUCUCUCUCCGGCGAAUUUCGUACAUCUCCCAUCCUCCGAUCAUCGUUGCCGUCAUCGUAAUUUGAUUUUGAUUCUGAUCGGCGGCAAUUUUUAACCUUUAUAUUCAAGAUGAGGAGGAUAAGGAGCUCUUUCUUCUCUAAGAUGAUUAUGUACUUGUUAUAGAUCGGGGGUUACGGAUCUUUUUGGUAUUUGCUGGUGAUGGUUUUUGAAGAUGUAUCUCAGAUCUAAAUGGUGGGAUCUGGCGUCGGCUGACAGACGAGGCUCUCGGAUCUAAAUUGUUGAUUUUGCUACUCUAUUUUGUUCUUGAUUGUAUCCAUGGCGGGACGUCGUUUCGCCGACGAUUCUUCUGGUAACGGAGUAGUCGACGGAGGCCUAGAUCUUAUUUUGUCUGCUGAUGUUUUUGAUUUAGUCUGCUAUGGGUUUAGUCUGAUAUAGAUCUAGAUCUAUAAAACUGUUACUCUGUCCUUAGAUCAUAUAGAUGUUGUGGGAUUUUUUGGUCGGAUUUUGAAUAUGUUCUGGACUGAUUACUAACAAAUCUUGUAGGAGUUUUUCAAAAUAAUAAUAAUAAUAAUAAUAAUAAUAAUAAUAAUUUGAAUAAACAUCAUUCCUGACGUCUUUGAAUUUGG